CAUAGCUCAGUUGGUAGAGCACGAGACUCUUAACCUCAAGGUCGUGGGUUUGAGCCCCACGUUAGA
rnacentral:tRNA from 1 species